rnacentral:rRNA from 1 species
AAUGAACGUUGGCGGCGUGGAUUAGGCAUGCAAGUCGAGCGAGAACCCCGCAAGGGGGGACAGCGGCAAACGGGGUAGUAAUGUGUCGGAACGUGCCCAGAGGACGGGGAUAGCGGCGGGAAACUGCCGGUAAUACCCGAUGAUCUCGAGAGAGCAAAGGGGUGAUUCCGCCUUUGGAGCGGCCGACACGGUAUUAGCUAGUUGGCGGGGUAACGGCCCACCAAGGCUGUGAUGCCUAGGGGAUGUGAGAGCAUGAUCCCCACCAUUGGGACUGAGACACUGCCCAGACACCUACGGGUGGCUGCAGUCGAGAAUCUUCGUCAAUGGGCGAAAGCCUGAACGAGCGACGCCGCGUGUGGGAUGAAGGCCUUUGGGUUGUAAACCACUGUCGAGGGGGAUGAAGGCAUUCAGGUCCUCCUGAAUGUUUGACAGAGCCCUGGAGGAAGCACGGGCUAAGUUCGUGCCAGCAGCCGCGGUAACAC